GGAGAGGUGGCCGAGAGGCUGAAGGCAGCGGUUUGCUAAACCGCCAUACAGGUUAAUUCCUGUAUCGAGGGUUCAAAUCCCUCCCUCUCCG
rnacentral:tRNA from 2 species